GACGAACGCUGGCGGCGUGCUUAACACAUGCAAGUCGAACGGGCCUUGUCCCCUUUUUUUUGGGGGUGGGGUUAGUGGCGAACGGGUGAGUAACACGUGAGUAACCUGCCCCUCACUUCUGGAUAACCGCUUGAAAGGGUGGCUAAUACGGGGUGUUCUGGCCUGCUCGCAUGGGUGGGUUUGGAAAGAUUCGACCGGUUUUGGUUGUUUUGGUGGGGGAUGGGCUCGCGGCCUAUCAGCUUGUUGGUGGGGUGAUGGCCUGCCAAGGCUUUGACGGGUAGCCGGCCUGAGAGGGUGGGCGGUCACACUGGGACUGAGACACGGCCCAGACUCCUACGGGAGGCAGCAGUGGGGAAUAUUGCACAAUGGGCGCAAGCCUGAUGCAGCGACGCCGCGUGAGGGAUGGAGGCCUUCGGGUUGUGAACCUCUUUCGCCAGUGAAGAAGGUCCUGCUCUUUGUGGUGGGGUUGACG
rnacentral:rRNA from 1 species